CCUCUCCCCAGCUAGUACUCUCUCUCUCUCAAAUAAACAUUAAAAAAAGAAAAAAGAAAAUGCAGAACAAACAAAUCCCCAUAGUUGUAUCUCCCACAGAUAAUUACUGUUAACUUCAGGGUAUGUCCUUCUGGUUUUCCAGACAUCAUUGUUAGCCAGCUUCGCAUCAGACCUCGAAGCCACAGUCAGAAGCCUAGACCUGGAAAGGUCGAGAAAGAGGAGCUCCACAGGACACUCCACAGAUAUUAGAGAACAAAGACAAUGAAGACAAUUUCUAAAAAACAGCAAGUGUUUAGAAGAAGUCACAAAGGAAACAACAUAAUUGAUGCCAUAUGAACUUUAAACACUUCUGAGGCUCAAAUAAAGAAAAAAGAAAGUCCAUCGUGAAAACAGUAGGAUGACCCUAAUAACUAAAUGAGAAAAGGACCUAAACUGACCUUUUAAAACGUUCUUGGUAAUCAAAGAUAUUAACAAUUUGCAGAUGAGCUGCAAUUUCUUAAACUAGAAGAUCAGCGAUUUCAAAGUGUGUUACUUGGAAGGCAGGUAGGGGUGAGGUGACAGGGCGGCUCAUCUGCCGCUCCGACAAAGGAAACCCGUUCAGCCCUGAGCGGUGUGGGACAGAGACAGAGCGGAAGCUCUAAGCAUCUACAUCAUUUGACUCACUUAUUCCACUUCUAGGAAUCUAUUGGUAAGGAAACACUCCUAAAUGCUGAAAGGUUUUAUGAACCUAGUUCUUUGCAAUGUUACUUACAGUAGUGAAAGACUAAAUGUUCAACGCUAAAAAAAUGGAGCGCUAAUUUAUAGGGCAUUACACAGUCAUUACCGCUGUCUAUGGGGAAAGAAUUAUUACAUGAUGUUACACGGAAAGUGGGUACAAACGUAUGAUCUCCACUAUUUUUGGCAAACGCAUUGAAAUUGAGGGCAGAACCCAAAUCAGCAGUUUCUUAAGGAGGUGGGUUGGGGGGGCCUCUAAGCUUCAUUCCAACAGAGUCCUAUUUUAUGCAUAUGUUUACAUGAAAAAAUAGGGCAGAAUUUCAGAGUGGUCCAGCCAAGCACGAGGUCUCCACGCCGAAUGGCAGUCAGGAGGCUGGGAUGGCUUUGUGACCUCAGCGUGGGGGCCGCGGCCCCUCCAGAGGACACAAGACUGCCCAAGCACAAGCCCCGCCUACGGAAUUGGACUUUUAAGGACACUCAGAAUCAGGCAGGUACAGCCUCGGGAAAAACACUUAAAACUCUGGGAAAUGCUGGAAAGCAGAGUAAGGAAGCUACCAGGGCUUGAGGUAUGUCCUUUAAAGCAGCUGGGUCAUCAGAAAAUGAGAUUCAGAAAGUAAUUCCAUCAAGAGCCUCAAAAUGGAUCAGCAGACUUUGGACUACAUUUUUUUAAAUGUGGAACUUAGACUCCGAAAACUGCAACACAAUGUUGAAAGAAACUAAGGAAGAUCUAAAUAAGUGGAAAAUUACCCAUAUUUACAGAUCACAACAUUUGAUGUUGUCAGUGGGAAAUUCUUUCCGGGCUGAUCUCCAGGUUCCACACAAGGCCUAUCACAAUCGUGCUGGCUGCUUUGCAGAAAUUGGUCCGAAAAUGCAUAUGGAGCAUCGAGGGACCCAGAAUAGUCUAAAUAAUCUUGCCAAAAAAAAAAAAAAAUUGGAAGACUAACAUGUCCUGCUUUCAAAACUUAGCACAAAGUUCUAGAACUGAAAUGUGGUGGUAUUGGUGCACGGAUAUGUAUGGAUAAAUGGAAUAAAAGACCGAAAGACACCCGACAUCAUUAGCUAUCAAGGAAAUGCAAAUCAAAACCACAAUGAGAUACCACUUCAUACCCACAAAGCUGGCUACAAUAAAAAAGUGUUAACAGGCCCUAGUGAGGCUGUGGAAAACCGGAGCCGUCACACAGCGCUGGUUAGAAGGUAAAUCUCAUCGGAGGACAGUCCUCGCAAGGUGAAUUCAACAUCCAGUUUCCAUAAGGCGUGUACCUUCCAGGUGUAUAUACCACACAGAACUACCCAACGUUCGCAGCAGCAUUGGUUCACGAAGCUCCGAAGUGGAAAGUCAAAGGUCCAUCAACUACUGAAUGAUAAAUAAAGUGGGGAAUAACCACACCAUGGACUAGGAUUCAGCCACAAGAAGGAAUGACGUACGGAUUCUCCCGGCAGCAUGGAUACGCCGUGCUCAGUGAAGGCAGCCAAUCACAAAGGACUGUAUCUUGCAUUUACAGGAGAGGCCCAGAAAACGGCAAACAUAUGAAGCCCAAGUGUAGAUCAGUGGGUGCCUAGGGCCUGGGGGGUUAUGGGGAAACAGGGAGUAUUGCUAAGGCGUACGGGGUUUCUUUUUAAGGUGAUGAAAUGUUGUAAAAUCGCUUCUCAUUCUAUGACUAUACUAAACAGCACUGACUGUACACUUUAAGCAGGUGAAUUACAUGGUGUGUGAAUUAUAUGUCAAUAAAAGUGUCAUUAAAAACGGG